CACCUGCGCAAAGAAGCGUGCGGUGGCCCGGCGUCGGGGCUUCGAUAGCCCGGCGUCUGUUUGACCCAAAUCCUACAGCUCCGAAUCCCCAGGCGGUCGGAGAUCCCCACAAAGAGCCCCACCGGCAGAAAACACGCUUCCCGGCAGAAACAGGAUAGAGCGCCCUAACCGAGAGCCUCUCCCUAACGGGGUCACGCUCUGCCCGAGAGAAACACGCCAGGCCCACCUCCUGAGACACAGACCUCACCUCAGAGAGCUACGUAUCCUAACACCCACACCCAGAUUGUGGCUCACUCCCACGACACCAACCUCAAUCAGCAGUUCGGCUCUCACCUGUCUCUGGGGCAGCACCGUGCCCUGCUGUGGUAGAAGAAGCCUCGGGAGCUAGCAUGGUCCUGUUGCUGCCAUUGACAGUUCAUCCUGUCCAAUGGCAAGCUCGAGAUCAUCAGGAAGGACCAUGGUUCCCAGAGCUUCAGAUCCAGCCCAGGCUUCCCUAGAGAUAUUCUUUUAUCUCCUCCCCAUCUCCCUAUUCCUUUGUUGACUCACCUGCAUCUCCAGGCAGGUCGACAGUCACAGGGAGGGACCAGGAUCCCCAGGAGCCACCGAGGGAGAUCCCAUCAGGUUUGCUGCGCAGCUGCAGCCAGUAGGAGUUGCCAGGCUGGAGUCCUGAGAUGAGGCAGCUUCCACCCACUGCUGUCAGAGCUGAAGCCUUGGGAGGAAAAUCCCAGCUUCACAAUCUAGGCCUGCCUGUCAGCUGAGAGAGCCUCCAACCCUUAUAUUUGCACAGCAUCCCUGUGGAGAGGAGCUCAGCUCCUUGCUGGAUAGAUAUGCACACAGACCAGGGGCCAAGUUGGUGGGUUGCAGGUGGUGUUCAGGGUUUUGUUGGGAAAUCUCCAUUAAUUUGGAGGCCUGAAAGCCUUUGCUUUUAUCAGUGGGAAUGACCCAAAGUAGGAAGCCCCUAAGUAGGCAUGGCUCAUAUCUGAGCCUAUACUAACUCUUCAAGGAUGAACCCAGGUCUGGAAUCCCCAAAGUAUGGUCUGUCCUUUCCUGGGGCAAGAUUGAAGGUAGGAGAGAAGAGGUGGGGCAGAAGAAGGUCAGCAUACUUCUCUACUUGGGGAGGUCUGCUUUGGUCCGUCUUGCCAGGGCACUGCGGGCUGAGCACAUGGAGACUGGUCCAGAGCAGAGGCUGAGUGUGGCCUCUGCAGAACAGGGCAGCAGGUUUCUGUGGCGAUCAGCUGUAUGACCGUGGGACCAGUGGAGUUCUUGGGAUCUCUGGGGCCAUAGCGGAGUUCAUACCUCAGGAAAUCACUGAUUUCUGGAGCUGGCUCCUCCCAGCUGAUCUGAAGUUCCCCUGGCUGGCUCCCACUCAUGGCCUUGAUGAUACUGGGGGGAGCCGGCAGGCCUGAGGGCAAGACAGGGCACAUCAGAACUCUGAGUACCACAGUCUAUGGCUCAGCCCCUGGACUGCAGAGAGGGGUGCUGGGGGCUGAAUUGGGGCAGCUUCUGGAUUCAAAAAUUGUAGGGUGUCAUUCUCCUGGAGGGCAGGCUAGGGAGGCUCCUGAUUCUGCUCUUCCCUCAUGAGAACAGUGACUUCAUUGCAGUAUGAUGGCUUGCUAGACUCAGUGCUUCUUGGAAGCAGGGAUCCCUUUUUCUCUCCAUAUCCCCAUCACCUAGCCCAGUGUCUGGCACACAGUAGGUAUUCUGUAACUCUUGAAUGGAUGAAUAAAUGAUUUGUUGACGAUGGGAGGGCCAG